rnacentral:rRNA from 1 species
UAGGGAAUCUUCCGCAAUGGGCGAAAGCCUGACGGAGCAACGCCGCGUGAGUGAUGAAGGUCUUCGGAUCGUAAAACUCUGUUAUUAGGGAAGAACAAAUGUGUAAGUAACUAUGCACGUCUCGACGGUACCUAAUCAGAAAGACACGGCUAACUACGUGCCAGCAGCCGCGGUAAUACGUAGGUGGCAAGCGUUAUCCGGAAUUAUUGGGCGUAAAGCGCGCGUAGGCGGUUUUUUAAGUCUGAUGUGAAAGCCCACGGCUCAACCGUGGGGGGUCAUUGGAAACUGGAAAACUUGAGUGCAGAAGAGGAAAGUGGAAUUCCAUGUGUAGCGGUGAAAUGCGCAGAGAUAUGGAGGAACACCAGUGGCGAAGGCGACUUUCUGGUCUGUAACUGACGCUGAUGUGCGAAAGCGUGGGGAUCAAACAGG